CCUGGUUGAUCCUGCCAGUAGUCAUAUGCUUGUCUCAAAGAUUAAGCCAUGCAUGUCUAAGUAUAAACAACUUUAUACUGUGAAACUGCGAAUGGCUCAUUAAAUCAGUUAUAGUUUAUUUGAUAGUACCUUACUACUUGGAUAACCGUAGUAAUUCUAGAGCUAAUACAUGCGAAAAGACCCGACUUUUGGAAGGGUUGCAUUUAUUAGAUACAAAACCAAUGGCCAGCAAUGGUCACACUUGGUGAUUCAUAAUAACUUUUGCGGAUCGCAUAGCUUUACGCUGGCGACGAAUCAUUCAAAUUUCUGCCCUAUCAACUUUCGAUGGUACGGUAUUGGCCUACCAUGGUUACAACGGGUAACGGGGAAUUAGGGUUCGGUUCCGGAGAGGGGGCCUGAGAAAUGGCCACCACAUCCAAGGAAGGCAGCAGGCGCGCAAAUUACCCAAUCCUGAUACAGGGAGGUAGUGACAAUAAAUAACAAUGCAGGACCUUUACGGGUUUUGUAAUUGGAAUGAGUACAAUUUAAAUCUCUUAACGAGUACCAAUUGGAGGGCAAGUCUGGUGCCAGCAGCCGCGGUAAUUCCAGCUCCAAUAGCGUAUAUUAAAGUUGUUGCAGUUAAAAAGCUCGUAGUUGAAUCUCGGAGUCCUUUUUUCUUCGGAAACGCCGAUGGUCGGAAACCCAGAGCCUCGAAAGGGGUGGAUGGGGCUGUUUACUUGAGGCAGGGCUCACAUCUGAGUUUCUCGAAGGUGGCCUCUGCUCUUCACUGGGUUGGGGGACUUUUUCACAUUCGAGACAUUUACUUUGAAAAAAUUAGAGUGUUCAAAGCAGGCAGUUUCGCUUGAAUACAUUAGCAUGGAAUAAUGGAAUAGGACUUUGGUCUUAUUUUGUUGGUUUCUAGGACUGAAGUAAUGAUUAAUAGGGACAGUUGGGGGCAUUAGUAUUUAAUUGUCAGAGGUGAAAUUCUUGGAUUUAUGAAAGACUAACUUCUGCGAAAGCAUUUGCCAAGGAUGUUUUCAUUAAUCAAGAACGAAAGUUAGGGGAUCGAAGACGAUUAGAUACCGUCGUAGUCCUAACCAUAAACUAUGCCGACUCGGGAUCGGUGAGCGUGUUUUUUUACUACCUCAUCAGCACCGUAGGAGAAAUCAAAGUUUUUGGGUUCUGGGGGGUGUAUGGUCGCAAGGCUGAAACUUAAAGGAAUUGACGGAAGGGCACACCAGGUUUGGAGCCUGCGGCUUAAUUUGACCCAACACGGGGAAACUCACCAGGUCCAGACAUCGUAAGGAUUGACAGAUUGAGAGCUCUUUCUUGAUUCGAUGGAAAGUGGUGCAUGGCCGUUCUUAGUUGGUGGAUUGCUCUGUCUGGUUUAUUCCGUUAACGAACGAGACCUUAACCUGCUAGAUAGUUACGAGAAUCU
rnacentral:rRNA from 1 species